UGGAGACGUGUGCGGGAGGCGUGCUUUAUGUUUUGGCCGCUGCCCUAGGUCAUCAUUUUGCUGCAGUGUGCGACCCUGUCUUGGUCAUGGAUGUCCCCGUGUGGGUGGAUGUAUGCCUGGACUGCUGGCGUUUGGUGUCUCGUGUCGGCCGCUGUCUGUGAGUGUGUGUGCGAGGUGGGUGCCACCGCCGGGGUCCGUGGGCGGCCUGUCCUGUAAUUCGCUGGACUGACCUGCAGCCUUGGACAUGCUAUCCUGGUGCCACGACUAAUUAAAGGGCCAAUAUUCCCCGGCGCGUUCUUCCUCCCCCACUGAAGCUGUUCUUGAUCCCGGCUGAAACCGUUCUGGAUUCUGGUAAAAAUUCUGAUUACACAAGCAAUCUGGAAACUGGUACAAAAAUUGCUCUCUAUAUUGUAUUAACUGUUGUACAUGUUGCAUGUGGGUCUUUUCCUUUUUGUUAUUGUUUGAAUUUGUUUGCAUCUUCCUUAUUAUGCAUGCUGGUUUAUUGAUUUGAGAAUAUAGUGUAAUGAACUUUGCAAGGGGUGUGGUUAAUCUGGCAAGACCCACAAUUUAAGAAUGAAUUGGCCUGCCCUCACCAAUAUUGUAACAUAUGACCUCAAAAUAUUCAUCUAUGACAGUAUGUCAAACUCAACUCAAGAUGGAAUUAUCUUUGACAGCUGUUUAAUUUGGGUCUUCGCUACGACUAGUCGUAGAGGAACCUAUUGUAUUUAAUUCGCGCAGAGUUGACCCUGAAAUUGACCGGAGGUAAUCUUGUGAAAGGGGGGCGGGGCGGAGCAUGAUGCUAACAUGGCGGUACUUAGCAUUGCACUAGUAAUGACAGGACCCAACUGCUGACAAGGGGCUGAAACAGCCAGAGACAAUGGGUCAUGUCUUUAGUUUUCUAGCUAGCCUUUGUGGCUAGCCUUAACUUGCCUGCUUGGCCGUUUCAUGCACAGGCACCUGCGGGCAGGCUAGGCCACACUCUUACUUACUGCGAAAUUUUCUAGUUUUAUAAAUGUUUCUUCUUCUAAAUGUUUCUUCUGCCAAUGUUUAGACUCCAGG
ensembl:lncRNA